rnacentral:sRNA from 1 species
GUGAAAGGUGUAGCAGUCACUCGGCCUACACCCACAGCAUCGACCUUGUGAACCCAGCGACCUGACUGCCUUGGGAGAAUUGAAGCGAAUGAGAGUGGGGAGUGUGAGAGGUGCGUUUGGUGCAGCAUUUCUGGCAUGGGAACAGAACUGGCCAGGAGGAAGUGACGUCUGGGUUCUGCCCGCACACAUUCCUCGCCACCUUCUUGGUGUCUGAGAACCUCCAGCUUCACCUCCUUUUCUGGACCCGAGGGCCUGGCGGAGCUUCCAGCUGGGACCAG